rnacentral:rRNA from 1 species
UACAGAGGUGGCAAGCGUUGUUCGGAAUUACUGGGGCGUAAAGGGCGCGUAGGCGGCUUACCAAGUCAGGCGUGAAAUUCCCGGGCUCAACCUGGGGGCUGCGCUUGAUACUGGUGAGCUUGAAUGCGGGAGAGGAUAGUGGAAUUCCCAGUGUAGAGGUGAAAUUCGUAGAUAUUGGGAAGAACACCGGUGGCGAAGGCGGCUAUCUGGCCCGUAAUUGACGCUGAGGCGCGAAAAGCGUGGGGAGCAAACAGG